GGGGGGGUAUUGAACAUAAAGUUAACAUAACAUAAAAGAUUACUAAAUACAUAUCAUCUCUCUCACUUUCUCUCCCAUUCAUAUCCUAACUAACUUUGACUCUAACAAAUCUUUAUCUCUGACUAACUCUUUAAAACCCAUCAAAUUAAGCCUCAGACAUCACUCUGACAGACUCAGCUUUCAUCCCUAACCUUAUUGUUGUGUGCCAUCCAGUCAUUUUCAGCUUAUGUGACUCCAAAACAAAUCUGUCAUUAGAUUCUACACCAGCUUUAUUCAAAUUCACUCAGGCAAUCCACCAAUGGACAAUCACUCUCAAUUCUUUGCUCCCACCCACUCCUAACAGAUCCUUACCUUAUAACCUAUACUCCCCAUUGUAUUAAUAAUUACACUUUACUUUAGUUUUCUACAAAAUGCAAAAGCAUUUCCCCUCAAAAGAUCCAUAACAUCACAACCCCUUUCAGAAAUCCAUAGCAUCACAACAUCAUUCAAAUGCCUCUGUUAUAAAUGGCUAGAAAGUGUUCGUCAUCAAAUAAGGUCACAAAGACCUUCAUCCAGUUUCUAAUUCUAGUAUAGGUCCCCUGAAUCAGAAGAUUUGCAUAAGUUUAGCGAUAGAUUCAGUGAGAUUUCUCUAAUCAGGAGUAGCAACUGGUUUUGGGCUAACAGCAAAUGUCACUUAUUGGGAGAGGGUCUAAUAUAGUGGUUUCCUCUUCCAAAAAAAAUCCCAUUUUUUUUUUAGUCAUGCUCCAAUUUGAGCUAAAUUUAGAAAUUCUGAAGUUAGAACAAUGAAAAGAAAUGAAUUACAGCAGUCAAGUAUCAGGACACCACUAUCAUUCUAGCCCAGUUUUGACAGCUUUGACAGCAUUUAUGACUGGUUGUUCUAUUUCUCAAGCUGGCCAAAGAAUUGGAGUCAUGACCUGGAAACUGAAGAAGGUUAUCCAUUUUACAGUCAAACCAAAAUCAAAUUAUCCUUUCAUACCUUUAGCUCUGCUUCUGUGCGUUAUUUUUCUUCUUGGUAAUCAAAUAGACUUGCCUAUUGCAUACAAUAAUACAAUGAAUCUACAUAAUCCUGUAAAUAAAGCUGUUGCAGUGCAAAUCUGGCACAACAGUGACUAAGAUCCAUAGAAUUAUAACAUUAUGAACUUCCACAGCUACAUCCUAUAAAAUCCUGGAUUUGUAGUUUGUCAAGGCCCAAGAGUUCUCUGGAUGAGAAUUCUAAAUGUCUCCCUAAACUACAAAUCCCAGGAUUCCUUGGGAUGGAACCAAAACAGUUAAAGUGGAAUCAGUGCCAUCAUUCUUUGUGUGGAAAAGAAAACCCUGAAAUAAAUACAUUCACAUUAAUUUAUUCUGUUUUCCUAAUAGCUAAGUGCACUCCAGAAGUUUACCCAUGUUGGUGGGUGCUUCAAGGUUGAGAACAUAUAGCAUGCUCUACUCUGUCUUUUCUCCCUUGACAGUCUUUGCUUCUGGUAAAAGAAAAUAUGGAGGAAUUAUUGGGAGGAAAAAUGAGAUGAUUACAAAUGGAUGUCACCAGUGUCUAGACACCCUAUACAUUCUAUGGGAACAUCGGUAGUAUCCAACAAUUCCUUCAAAUUCUUUAAUGCCUCAGAUGUUGUUUCAUGGAAAUGGGAGCAGGAGCUGAGACAUGAACAUCUUUGAAUUAAAUGAAAAGGGUUAAAGUAAUGAUUAGCCAUGAAUGACAAGAAAGACAUCAGUCUUCAACAACCAGAUCCCUGAUUCAAAUCUUUUCAAAAAAGGGAAAUCACUGAGCUCUGAAGUGAAAAGUGACAAGAGAAUUAUUCCGUGGUUGUCAAGGGGAUGUAACGCGAUGUAACAGCACACUCCAGACGCUUGAUGAUUUAGCAGUCACGCCAGCAAAAAGAAUUUUGUAUUGCUUCAAGGAUUUACGCAAAUUGGUUUGAUAUGGUGUGUCGGGCUUAAAAAGGAGGUGGCAACUGAGAGAACACUCUUCUGAUAAGCUUGGGCUUGUUUGUUGCAACGGCUUUCUACAAUAAAUUUGAAAGACUUUCCUAAGAAUGAGAAAUGGACUGAGAAGUUGUUCCUUGGGGAAAUGUAAUUAGUGCCCAUGUACUAACUAUGCAAUCAUCAGAGUGCAAAAUCCCUAGCCAGUACAGCAUAGCCAUUGGUUGGGGAAGGCUGUUUUAAGUGGCCAGAAUAUGGCUUGGUUGCUGGCAAAGUGUAAAUCUCCACUAGCAUUCUUCUGGUGGGCUUUUGACCAUCGCCUUGUUGGCUGGAGUUGCUUCUGGCCAUAAUCUGGCUGCAGUUGCAGAUGGAGAAAAGGAACAGUAAUUUUCCUCCACUGAACUUGCUGAAGAUCAGUGUGUAUUUUUAUGGCUGUCCUUUCUUCCUGCCUGAACAACUAACUUCAGAUAAUUGAUCAUGGGAGUGAACCCUAGUAUCUUCAAGCUGUAAUUACACAAG